rnacentral:rRNA from 1 species
AGGGCCUUUGAUCCUGGGCUCAGAUUUGAACGCUUGGGGCGGCAUGCUCAACACAUGCAAGUCGAACGGCAGCAUGACCAAGCUUGGCUUGGUUGAUGGCGAGUGGCGGGACGGGUGAGUAAUGCAUCGGAAUCUGCCCUGUUGUGGGGGAUAACCUGGGGAAACUCAGGCUAAUACCGCAUGUGACCUUAGGGUGAAAGCGGGGGACCUUCGGGCCUCGCGCGACAGGAUGAGCCGAUGUUCGAUUAGCUAGUUGGUGGGGUAAAGGCCUACCAAGGCGACGAUCGAUAGCUGGUCUGAGAGGAUGAUCAGCCACACUGGGACUGAGACACGGCCCAGACUCCUACGGGAGGCAGCAGUGGGGAAUAUUGGACAAUGGGGGCAACCCUGAUCCAGCAAUGCCGCGUGUGUGAAGAAGGCCUUCGGGUUGUAAAGCACUUUUAUCGGGAAAGGAAAUCGCGCAGGCUAAUACCCUGUGUAGAUGACGGUACCUUGUAUGGUAAUAAGCACCGGCUGACUA